GAAGGUUCAGUCGGUGAGGGGGAACACCAAGGUUUUGAUACAAAGUAUGGAAACAAGGGCUGAUGAGAUGGAAGCACUCCUGGAAGCCUGACAAGCUCCACACAGUCCUACAGCGUUCCACCAUGUAAAAUCAGGCCUUCAUUUUGAACUUGGAAAUCUCCUCACUUGCAGGCAGUGGCAAUGCCAGCAAGCCACAGAAUGAAGGUAGAUGCCUUGACUCAGAGUUGGUGGCUGUUUUGAAAGCUGGCCUUGCUUUGGACCAUUGAUGGGACUGUCUUCUUCAGCAAACAGUGAUCAUGAAACCAAAUUCAGCUUUCUUCAGGAAAAGGACAAAAACUGGGGUAUACCACUGGAUCUACUAUGGAAAAGUGUUUGAGUGAUGCCCACCUAAUAUAGAAGAACUUGUCAUAGCUCUGAUGCAGCGACAAUUGACCACUUGCUUUUACAUAAACACUAGGAAGAAAGGCAUGGCAUCAAGUGUUUUGAGAGCUGAAUUACAUCAAUAUUUCCUUUUCAGAAAAUCUAAAAUUAUUUCAAUGCACAAAAGCUAGGAUGGUGCCUGGUCCAUGGUGGACAGUAACUGGUCUGUUUUGAAUGCAUGAAUUUUCAUCGUAGUUUUUGUGAUUGUGUUUAUGAAGACACUGGAGCAACAAUGUUCUGCAAUUCUAGAGAUCUUGAUGUGGUGGCAGCCUUGUAUCCAGUCUUAUGUGAGCUUCCUGCAGGGCAACUUUGGCAUAUUCUCAGCAAACAUAGAGUUGUUGGAUUUCACAUAAGGAGACUGUUAUCAUUUGGUCCUUGACAACUUUCAUAAACAGUCACUCUUAGCUUAACAAGCAAAUGUGUAACAGUUAAAAUUGGAAGAAAAAUAAGGCCAAAAUGGCAGCUUACUACACAACUUGCAUGCAUUCUAAAAUAAAGGAAAUAUGAAUAAAAGUUUUUCUUAUGUGUCUGAUGCUUAAGGACAAUGUUUGGUCAAAAAACUGAGGUCUCAUGACAGACAACUCAAAUGACAAAAAGAAAAUAAGGAUGUGUCUCAUUGCAAAGCCUGAAUCACUCUCACAUUUGAAGACCUUGAACACAAACGCUUUAUUUCUGGACCUUAAUAUGUUUCACUUGCUAUGCCUGCAUAACAGUGGUAGUUACCUGAUAUAAGUGAUUAAAAUCCUUCCUGUUUAGAAAGAAGAAGAAUAUUUAGCGACAGGACAUCAGCAUGCAAAGAGUUAACUAGUUAAACUUCUACAAACCCCCAGAGUAACUUUCCAAAAGCUGACAAUAAGUAAAAGAAGUGCUGGUUAUCCAUUUUUUAAAGGGAUGGGAUUGGUUUUAGAAGAAAGGGAAAGAGGAUCAAACACCUCAAUGCAACAAAAGGUUGUGUCAGAGGGCCCUCAAUCACAAACCUCCUUCAACAACAGAUAUUCCAACCUUCCAGAGCAGUUACCCAGGCAGCACAGCUAAAAAGUUCCAUGACAUGAAAAGAACAAAAACCUAAGGGACAGAGGUAGUUAUUGUCAUGCACACUCUUCUCUCUCUCUCUCUUUCUUUUUUUUUUUUUUUGGCUUGGGUUUUUCCCUCCCCCACAAAACUUUUGCAUAAGCUGUUAGAGAAAAGUAAUGGUGUGGCUUUCUAAAAAGAAAUCCCCUAUUUGUAAGCCACCUCCUAGGUAGUGAGGUAGCCCAGUGGACUUUCUGUAAGAAACACCUGGUAAGUGGAGAGAUCAUUUACACGAAUAUUUCAAAAGAGACAUCUAAAAUUAAUAAGCACAAUUACAGCCCUGUAAAUGUGGUCAACAUUCCCUUGAAAUCACUUGUGUUUUUUUUUUUAAUUGAUGUUAUUUUCUUUUCAGACAAAUUUUUUUCAGUGCACAGCGGAUAUAUGUUAUUUGCAUUUUCUGUGUUGAGUCUUAGAGGUAUCUUAACAGCUUGUAUGAAUUUUCCACCAAAACGUAAAUUAUUAACAAGUCAGAGUUUUCAUUUGUUUUAUCUCCUGAUGUGAGAUCUAAAUAAGUAUGUAGAACACUUAAAAUUCUUGCCAUUUCUCUGCUUUCUGAAAAAUAAAUCUCAUGCAUACUGCACAAUAUAUUUUCUCAUGCAUAACAUGUUUCCAUUUAAUGGGAAAAAACUAAUUUCAGGAGGAAUACUGUAUGUUUCCUGGACACUUAGUUUUAUAAGCAGAGUAUUAACCCAAAGAAGCAUUUGGUCAUGUUUUCUUCAUCAUCAUCAUCAUCAUCAUCAUCAUAUCAUCAUCAUUCUUAUCAUAAUGUUCUUUAUAAUCAUCCUCAAAAAGCAUUUAAAGUCUUCAUCAUUACCUGGUUUGAUAUUAGGUAUCUUCGAUUAACUUUGCCCUGAUUUCUAAGACAUAAACUACUGUUAGAACCAGAUUUUUAAAACCCAGUUAUGUGGUCCUCAAAAUUUACAUGCAAGGAUAAUAUGGCAUACAGCAUGAUGGUGAUUGAAGCGGGGUGUGAUUGGGGAGUCCUAUGAGAUAUGAUAAUAAUACUAGUAGCAAACAUGUUAACAGUGCUUACUGUGUGCCAGCAGCGCUCUAAAUAAAUGAUCUUAUUACUCGUCACAACAAUCCAUUUUACAGAUGAGGAAGCUGAGGUGCAGUGCUGUCAGGUAACUGCCCAAUGUCAUAGGUAGCAAGUGGUGGAAAUGGAAAUUUUGAACCUGGGCGUGCUCACAAAGAGGACACUUUGCUACAUCAGAAAGGAAGCACGGAUGGACUACCGAAAGAAAGUGUCAGAAUCUGCCCUUGAGUGGUGUGUACCAGGAACAUGUAUACCAUGAGAAGAAUUUCUGAAGAAGUGUGAGAAUGAUAAAAAAAGAAGUACCAGAAGAGCUUACCUCCAAAAAGAAAGAAAAAAGAUUGGAACAAUUAGGAGGUAGCUGGAUGAAGAGGUGACAUGUAUGAAGUGAACAUUAGAAGCCAGUCCAGAGAGCAGCUGGCAGUCUCAAUGGAGCUCAGAGAGAAUGAAUGGACCAAAAACAUAGACAAGAGAAAAAAAAAUUUGUCAGUGUUAUUAAAUAAAGUAAGCUGGAAUUUG